rnacentral:rRNA from 1 species
GUGUCAGCAGCCGCGGUAAUACGUAGGGGGCGAGCGUUGUCCGGAAUCAUUGGGCGUAAAGCGCGUGUAGGCGGCUCAGUCAGUCUGGUGUGAAACCUUGGGGCUCAACCCCAAGCCUGCACUGGAUACUGCUGAGCUUGAGUCCGGGAGGGGAGAGCGGAAUUCCUAGUGUAGCGGUGAAAUGCGCAGAUAUUAGGAAGAACACCGGUGGCGAAGGCGGCUCUCUGGAACGGUACUGACGCUGAGACGCGAAAGCGUGGGGAGCGAACAGGAUUAGAUACCCUGGUAGUCC